rnacentral:misc_RNA from 1 species
GUUCACACUAGCCAUGAAUUCUGCUGCAAGCUGUAUAUUCCAUUGAUAGAAGUGUGAUUAUUAAAUGUGUUAAUUACUGUGGACAUUGAAAGCUCCGUUGGUUAUUACGUGAAUUUCUUAGACUCCAACUCCACAGGCAAUUUAUUUAGCGUAAUUUAAGGUCAUUUAAAUCAGCAUAUUCAAUGAUUUCAGCAGCAGCCCUUGAAUGCAAUUCAUUUAAAGCCUUUUACUCAUGGUAUAAAAACUCUUCCAUAAUAAGCCGUAGAGCUAGUAAACUCAAAAGUGCAGCUACCUAAGUCAGCUACAUCAAGGCCCACAACAUUACCCUAAACUAUUUACUACAUAAUUUCUUUGGUAAACAGACAGUAAG